rnacentral:rRNA from 1 species
AUUGAACGCUGGCGGCAGGCCUAACACAUGCAAGUCGAACGAGUGGCGGACGGGUGCGUAAUGUCUGGGAAACUGCCUGAUGGAGGGGGAUAACUACUGGAACCGGUAGCUAAUACCGCAUCCCAUCGGAUGUGCCACGAUGGGAUUAGCUAGUAGGUGGGGUAAAGGCUCCCCUGGGCGACGAUCCCUAGCUGGUCUGAGAGGGUGACCAGCCACACUGGAACUGAGACACGGUCCAGAGUCCUACGGGAGUCAGCAGUGGGGAAUAUUGCACAAUGGGCGAAAGCCUGAUGCAGCCAUGCCGCGUGUAUGAAUAAGGCCUUCGGGUUGUAAAGUACUUUCAGCGGGGAGGCGUUACCCGCAGAAGAAGCACCGGCUAACUCCGUGCCAGCAGCCGCGGUAAUUC